rnacentral:rRNA from 1 species
UACGGAGGGGACUAGCGUUGUUCGGAAUUACUGGGCGUAAAGCGCACGUAGGCGGAUUUGUAAGUCAGGGGUGAAAUCCCGGGGCUCAACCCCGGAACUGCCUUUGAUACUGCGAAUCUCGAGUCCGGAAGAGGUGAGUGGAAUUCCUAGUGUAGAGGUGAAAUUCGUAGAUAUUCGGAAGAACACCAGUGGCGAAGGCGGCUCACUGGUCCGGUACUGACGCUGAGGUGCGAAAGCGUGGGGAGCAAACAGG